GACGGGGGGUGCAAGUGUUAUCCGGAAUCACUGGGCGUAAAGCGUCUGCAGGUGGUUUCCUAAGUCCACUGUUAAACCUUGAGGCUCAACCUCAAAUCUGCAUUGGAAACUAGGAGACUUGAGUAUAGUAGGGGUAGAGGGAAUUUCCAGUGGAGCGGUGAAAUGCGUAGAUAUUGGAAAGAACACCGAUGGCGAAGGCACUCUACUGGGCUAUUACUGACACUCAGAGACGAAAGCUAGGGGAGCAAAUGGG
rnacentral:rRNA from 1 species